rnacentral:rRNA from 1 species
AGGUAAGCUACUAAGAGCGAAUGGUGGAUGCCUUGACUGGUAAAGGCGAUGAAGGACGUACUAGACUGCGAUAAGCUACGGGGAGCUGUCAAGAAGCUUUGAUCCGUAGAUUUCCGAAUGGGGCAACCCAAUGUAUAGAGAUAUACAUUACCUAUAUAGGAGCGAACGAGGGGAAUUGAAACAUCUUAGUACCCUCAGGAAAAGAAAUCAAUAGAGAUUGCGUCAGUAGCGGCGAGCGAAAGCGCAAGAGGGCAAACCCAGUGCUUGCACUGGGGGUUGUAGGACUGCAAUGUGCAAGAGGUAAGUUUAGCAGAACAUUCUGGAAAGUAUAACCAUAGAGGGUGAUAGUCCCGUAUGCGAAAAACAAACCUUAGCUAGCAGUAUCCUGAGUAGGGCGGGACACGAGGAAUCCUGUCUGAAUCCGGGUCGACCACGAUCCAACCCUAAAUACUAAUACCAGAUCGAUAGUGCACAAGUACCGUGAGGGAAAGGUGAAAAGAACUGAGGUGAUCAGAGUGAAAUAGAACCUGAAACCAUUUGCUUACAAUCAUUCAGAGCCCUAUGUAGGAAUACAGGGUGAUGGACUGCCUUUUGCAUAAUGAGCCUGCGAGUUGUGGUGUCUGGCAAGGUUAAGCAAACGCGAAGCCGUAGCGAAAGCGAGUCUGAAUAGGGCGCUUAGUCAGAUGCUGCAGACCCGAAACGAAGUGAUCUAUCCAUGAGCAAGUUGAAGCUAGUGUAAGAACUAGUGGAGGACUGAACCCAUAGGCGUUGAAAAGCCCCGGGAUGACUUGUGGAUAGGGGUGAAAGGCCAAUCAAACUUCGUGAUAGCUGGUUCUCUCCGAAAUAUAUUUAGGUAUAGCGUUGUGUCGUAAUAUAAGGGGGUAGAGCACUGAAUGGGCUAGGGCAUACACCAAUGUACCAAACCCUAUCAAACUCCGAAUACCUUAUAUGUAAUCACAGCAGUCAGGCGGCGAGUGAUAAAAUCCGUCGUCAAGAGGGAAACAACCCAGACUACCAGCUAAGGUCCCUAAAUCUUACUUAAGUGGAAAACGAUGUGAAGUUACUUAAACAACCAGGAGGUUGGCUUAGAAGCAGCCAUCCUUUAAAGAAAGCGUAAUAGCUCACUGGUCUAGUGAUUUUGCGCGGAAAAUAUAACGGGGCUAAAGUAAGUACCGAAGCUGUAGACUUAGUUUACUAAGUGGUAGGAGAGCGUUCUAUUUGCGUCGAAGGUAUACCGGUAAGGAGUGCUGGAGCGAAUAGAAGUGAGCAUGCAGGCAUGAGUAGCGAUAAUUAAUGUGAGAAUCAUUAACGCCGUAAACCCAAGGUUUCCUACGCGAUGCUCGUCAUCGUAGGGUUAGUCGGGUCCUAAGUCGAGUCCGAAAGGGGUAGACGAUGGCAAAUUGGUUAAUAUUCCAAUACCAACAUUAGUGUGCGAUGGAAGGACGCUUAGGGCUAAGGGGGCUAGCGGAUGGAAGUGCUAGUCUAAGGUCGUAGGAGGUUGUACAGGCAAAUCCGUAUAACAAUACUCCGAGAACUGAAAGGCUUUUUGAAGUCUUCGGAUGGAUAGAAGAACCCCUGAUGCCGUCGAGCCAAGAAAAGUUUCUAAGUUUAGCUAAUGUUGCCCGUACCGUAAACCGACACAGGUGGGUGGGAUGAGUAUUCUAAGGCGCGUGGAAGAACUCUCUUUAAGGAACUCUGCAAAAUAGCACCGUAUCUUCGGUAUAAGGUGUGGUUAGCUUCGUACUAGGAUUUACUCCGAAAGCGAAGAAACUUACAACAAAGAGUCCCUCCCGACUGUUUACCAAAAACACAGCACUCUGCUAACUCGUAAGAGGAUGUAUAGGGUGUGACGCCUGCCCGGUGCUCGAAGGUUAAUUGAUGGGGUUAGCAUUAGCGAAGCUCUUGAUCGAAGCCCGAGUAAACGGCGGCCGUAACUAUAACGGUCCUAAGGUAGCGAAAUUCCUUGUCGGUUAAAUACCGACCUGCAUGAAUGGCGUAACGAGAUGGGAGCUGUCUCAAAGAGGGAUCCAGUGAAAUUGUAGUGGAGGUGAAAAUUCCUCCUACCCGCGGCAAGACGGAAAGACCCCGUGGACCUUUACUACAGC